rnacentral:rRNA from 1 species
GACGAACGCUGGCGGCGUGCUUAACACAUGCAAGUCGAACGGAAAGGCCCCUUUGGGGGUACUCGAGUGGCGAACGGGUGAGUAACACGUGAGUAACCUGCCCUUGACUUCGGGAUAACUUCAGGAAACUGGGGCUAAUACCGGAUAGGAAUCCUUGCUGCAUGGUGGGGGUUGGAAAGUUCCGGCGGUUUUGGGUGGACCCGCGGCUUUUCGGCUUGUUGGUGGGUUAGUGGCUUACCAAGGCUUUGACGGGUAGCCGGCCUGAGAGGGCGACCGGCCACAUUGGGACUGAGAUACGGCCCAGACUCCUACGGGAGGCAGCAGUGGGGAAUAUUGCACAAUGGGCGGAAGCCUGAUGCAGCAACGCCGCGGGCGGGAUGACGGCCUUCGGGUUGUAAACCGCUUUCAGCAGGGGCGAAGCUUGUGGUGACGGUACCUGCAGAAGAAGCACCGGCUAACUACGUG